GGUGAUUUUAGCAAAGGAGUAACACCUGUUCUCAUCCCGAACACAGAAGUAAAGACCUUUAGCGCCGAAGAUACUUGCUUGGAAACGAGCCGGGAAACUAGGUCAUUGCCA
rnacentral:rRNA from 1 species